UGAGGAAUAUUGGUCAAUGGGCGUAAGCCUGAACCAGCCAAGUAGCGUGAGGGAAGACUGCCCUAUGGGUUGUAAACCUCUUUUGUGCGGGGAUAAAGUGAGGGACGUGUCCCUUAUUGCAGGUACCGCACGAAUAAGGACCGGCUAAUUCCGUGCCAGCAGCCGCGGUAAUACGGAAGGUCCGGGCGUUAUCCGGAUUUAUUGGGUUUAAAGGGAGCGCAGACGGGUCGUUAAGUCAGCUGUGAAAGUUUGGGGCUCAACCUUAAAAUUGCAGUUGAUACUGGCGUCCUUGAGUGCGGUUGAGGUGUGCGGAAUUCGUGGUGUAGCGGUGAAAUGCUUAGAUAUCACGAAGAACUCCGAUUGCGAAGGCAGCACACUAAGCCGUAACUGACGUUCAUGCUCGAAAGUGUGGGUAUCAAACAGGAUUAGAUACCCUGGUAGUCCACACGGUAAACGAUGGAUACUCGCUGUUGGCGAUAUACAGUCAGCGGCUUAGCGAAAGCGUUAAGUAUCCCACCUGGGGAGUACGCCGGCAACGGUGAAACUCAAAGGAAUUGACGGGGGCCCGCACAAGCGGAGGAACAUGUGGUUUAAUUCGAUGAUACGCGAGGAACCUUACCCGGGCUUAAAUUGCAAAGGAAUAAUCUGGAAACAGAUUAGUCUUCGGACCUUUGUGAAGGUGCUGCAUGGUUGUCGUCAGCUCGUGCCGUGAGGUGUCGGCUUAAGUGCCAUAACGAGCGCAACCCUCGCCGCCAGUUACUAACAGGUAAUGCUGAGGACUCUGGCGGGACUGCCAUCGUAAGAUGUGAGGAAGGUGGGGAUGACGUCAAAUCAGCACGGCCCUUACGUCCGGGGCUACACACGUGUUACAAUGGGCGGUACAGAAGGCAGCUACCUGGCGACAGGAUGCCAAUCCCUAAAGCCGCUCUCAGUUCGGACUGGAGUCUGCAACCCGACUCCACGAAGCUGGAUUCGCUAGUAAUCGCGCAUCAGCCACGGCGCGGUGAAUACGUUCCC
rnacentral:rRNA from 1 species